GCACUGUCCGCCAUUUUGUCUCUCGCUUUGGAAAAUCUACUACCAUCUGGAGUUUUACACUUGAAGGUAAAUAAGAUUUUAAAGCUAACACACCAGUGAGAAAGAGUGUAGACCCUUUAUAUAUGUGGACUUUUACUGGGGUGUUGUUAUUUUACAGGUAUGUGGGCUGUUUAUCGAAAACCAGGAAAGGCCAAUGUUAGGCUCCAGUUAGCUAAUGGUAACCGAAAUUAUGCGAUAAGCAAAUUAGUAAUUAACAUAUGUGAGUUAAUAUUGUUUAUAUAUUCUUUCAGUCUAAAUUAACAGACUAUUACAAACUUGCAUUGGUGUCUGUAGUAAGUGGUGGUACCUGCAGUGUCUUAACCAUUAAACAAGCUAAUGUAGGGCCGGGAUAUGACUAGUUUGUUGAAACAUGUCUGCUGCCAAUGUGACUGCGCACACAUGGUAACAUUACCAGCACAUAGCCACAGCCGCUAUAAACAUGCUAAAAGGUCAAUCUAGCUUCUGUAGUCAACAGCUGGAAGACUCAACACAGACCCAAGAUUCAGUGUAACGGUUAUCUAAAUGUUGUGUGUCCUGUUUGUAAGCCCAGAAAAAGAAAUUAAAUAAAAUGACGACCUUGAGCUUCAAGCUAAUGUAAGCGUAAUGCUAUAGCAUAAAGCUAAUGCAAUGAUGAGGUUGUUAAAUUAGUAAAAAUACAAUAAAUAUAUCCAACAUGAAUAAUUUAUAUUUUUGGUCUAAACAUAAUUAAGUCUCACGCCUUUCACUUGUUUUAGAAGGAUGUUCAGUCUUUUAAAACCAGUCAUGUCAAAAUAACAGAAAAUAGUUAUGUUUUCUGUUGAAACUCCACCCCCCAGGGUGUGUUCUGUGAGGGAAAAUUCACUGUGGCGGUCCGCCAUUUUUUGUCUUCGCUUCGUUUACCUUUGGUGCUGAGCUUUACUUUGUCGAGAUAAAUGCAGAGUUUAAGCGCAUUACCUCCAUGCCACUGCAGUCCAGAUUACUCUCGCAGAUAGAUGUGCUAUCUGACAAACUAAUAAAGGUCUUCAAAAGGCGAGGAGGACAAAUAGGAAGAAGACUUCAGAACAUUCUGGAGCCCACGGCCCAGGCCGCAGAUGAAGCCAUUAUCCAACGAUCUAAUAAGGAAACAACCAUGGGAAUUUACAUCAUAAAGUCAAGAGAUACCAAUGGCAGCCCUGAGGACAUCGGGAUAGUCCUUGAAGGCCAGAGAGUCUGGCAGGAUUUGGAUAACUAUACCCUAGCAGCUGCAAUGCUGUUUGGACUAAUGUACACUUUGAACCUCACCUACCCACUGGAAAAGUAUACCUUGGAGGUAUUAUAGAAACUGUUUAUGGAGCUCAAAAGGAACAGCCUUUCAAAGAAGGCCCAGGUUUUCAGGACCAGACUGUACGAUUGAACAGUUUUCCAGUUAUGAUGUGGGAACAACAUGUUUACCUCUUCGAAUAUGUACCAUCCUUUCUUUUAAGCCAGCACUGGUAAAGUUGCAGUACAUAGUGAAACUUAUUUUUCUGGCACUUUUCAACUUGGGGCCUUUAUUACUGCAGUGUUCAGUGUUCACUUUUCAAGCCAUGGCUCUUUUGAAAAAAAAUUCAAACUUUGAAUGUCCAUUUUUCUCAAUGGAAAUGGUGCCUUGCACCAAUUUCACCAGUUAGCAAUUUUUUUUCCCAAGGUGCACCACUACAAACAGAUUGCAUGGUCUAGUAUUAGUGAUUGUGAUGUUUAGUGAUAGAAGCAAGCCAAUACUAAUCAGUUUAGGUCUCUUGGUUUUGUGCCUGUGGAUUAUAAUGUUAUUUUAAGUCUCCUUUUUGUGUCAUUUUAAUAAUUACACCCCUUUUGCCAUAUUACCUUAUGGCUCUUACAUUUAAAAAACUAUUUUUUACAUAAGCGUGAUGUCAUAAGGCCCCACAAUGUUGAAUCCAGGUUACAGCAGAUAACUUUGAGGAAUGUUGUGGAAUGUUUUUCAAGAGAUGCAUUGUACAAAUAUGACUCAUGUAUAUUUUGGAAGCCUGAAUUGAAAGUCCAUUGUUACAACUGUGUAGUAUUUUCAAAAAUACAGGUCAUUGUUCAAAAA